GAUGAACGCUGGCGGCGUGCUUAACACAUGCAAGUCGAGCGAAGCACUUAAGUGGAUCUCUUCGGAUUGAAACUUAUUUGACUGAGCGGCGGACGGGUGAGUAACGCGUGGGUAACCUGCCUCAUACAGGGGGAUAACAGUUAGAAAUGGCUGCUAAUACCGCAUAAGCGCACAGGACCGCAUGGUCUGGUGUGAAAAACUCCGGUGGUAUGAGAUGGACCCGCGUCUGAUUAGCUAGUUGGAGGGGUAACGGCCCACCAAGGCGACGAUCAGUAGCCGGCCUGAGAGGGUGAACGGCCACAUUGGGACUGAGACACGGCCCAGACUCCUACGGGAGGCAGCAGUGGGGAAUAUUGCACAAUGGGGGAAACCCUGAUGCAGCGACGCCGCGUGAAGGAAGAAGUAUCUCGGUAUGUAAACUUCUAUCAGCAGGGAAGAAAAUGACGGUACCUGACUAAGAAGCCCCGGCUAACUACGUGCCAGCAGCCGCGGUAAUACGUAGGGGGCAAGCGUUAUCCGGAUUUACUGGGUGUAAAGGGAGCGUAGACGGAAGAGCAAGUCUGAUGUGAAAGGCUGGGGCUUAACCCCAGGACUGCAUUGGAAACUGUUUUUCUAGAGUGCCGGAGAGGUAAGCGGAAUUCCUAGUGUAGCGGUGAAAUGCGUAGAUAUUAGGAGGAACACCAGUGGCGAAGGCGGCUUACUGGACGGUAACUGACGUUGAGGCUCGAAAGCGUG
rnacentral:rRNA from 1 species